GUCAAUGGCCAUACCACCCUGAACGCACCCAAUCCUGUCUGAUCUCGGAAGCUAAGCAGAGUCAGGCCUGAUUAGUACUUGGAUGGGAGAUAGAUUAAUAUUAGUGGCAAAAGGAAGCACUUUUAUCU
rnacentral:rRNA from 1 species